GGUGGCUCAGUGGUAGAGCGCUUGCCUUGUAUGCCUGAUGCCCUGGGUUCGAUUCCUCAGCACCA
rnacentral:tRNA from 1 species